GAUGAACGCUAGCGGGAGGCUUAACACAUGCAAGUCGAGGGGCAGCAUAGGGUAGCAAUACUCUGAUGGCGACCGGCAAACGGGUGAGUAACGCGUAUGCAACCUACCCUGUACAGGGGGAUAACCCGGAGAAAUUCGGACUAAUAUCCCGUAAUAAUAUCCGGAGGCAUCUUUGGAUAUUUAAAGUUCCGACGGUACGGGAUGGGCAUGCGUAACAUUAGCUGGUUGGUAAGGUAACGGCUUACCAAGGCUAUGAUGUUUAGGGGUCCUGAGAGGGUGGUCCCCCACACUGGUACUGAGACACGGACCAGACUCCUACGGGAGGCAGCAGUGAGGAAUAUUGGUCAAUGGGCGCAAGCCUGAACCAGCCAUCCCGCGUGCAGGAAGACGGCCCUAUGGGUUGUAACUGCUUUUCCAGGGAGAGAAACUUACGCACGUGUUGCGUGACUGACGGUACCCUGGGAAUAAGCAUCGGCUAACUCCGUG
rnacentral:rRNA from 1 species